rnacentral:rRNA from 1 species
CUACGGGUUGCAGCAGUGAGGAAUUUUGCGCAAUGGGCGAAAGCCUGACGCAGCAACGCCGCGUGAGUGAUGAAGGCCUUCGGGUCGUAAAGCUCUGUCAAGUGGGAAGAACCUAUGUAAUGUUAAUAUCAUUAUAUACUGACGGUACCACUGAAGGAAGCACCGGCUAACUCCGUGCCAGCAGCCGCGGUAAUACGGGGGGUGCAAGCGUUAUUCGGAAUCAUUGGGCGUAAAGGGCACGUAGGCGGCCUGGUAAGUCAGAUGUGAAAGCCCGGGGCUUAACCCCGGAAGUGCAUUUGAUACUGUCAGGCUUGAGUAUGGGAGAGGGAAGUGGAAUUCCUGGUGUAGAGGUGAAAUUCGUAGAUAUCAGGAGGAACACCGGUGGCGAAGGCGACUUCCUGGACCAAUACUGACGCUGAGGUGCGAAGGCGUGGGUAGCAAACAGGAUUAGAUACCCGAGUAGUC